rnacentral:rRNA from 1 species
GAUGAACGCUGGCGGCGUGCCUAAUACAUGCAAGUCGAGCGAACGGACGAGAAGCUUGCUUUUCUGAUGUUAGCGGCGGACGGGUGAGUAACACGUGGAUAACCUACCUAUAAGACUGGGAUAACUUCGGGAAACCGGAGCUAAUACCGGGUAAUAUUUUGAACCGCAUGGUUCAAUAGUGAAAGACGGUCUUGCUGUCACUUAUAGAUGGAUCCGCGCUGCAUUAGCUAGUUGGUAAGGUAACGGCUUACCAAGGCAACGAUGCAUAGCCGACCUGAGAGGGUGAUCGGCCACACUGGAACUGAGACACGGUCCAGACUCCUACGGGAGGCAGCAGUAGGGAAUCUUCCGCAAUGGGCGAAAGCCUGACGGAGCAACGCCGCGUGAGUGAUGAAGGUCUUCGGAUCGUAAAACUCUGUUAUUAGGGAAGAACAUAUGUGUAAGUAACUGUGCACAUCUUGACGGUACCUAAUCAGAAAGCCACGGCUAACUACGUG